rnacentral:rRNA from 1 species
UUUCCCAGCCUCAAUCUCAUCUCUCUUUUUGCGUUCUGCUUCAAUAUCUGGUUGAACGGCGUCGCGUCGUAACCCAGCUUGGUAAGUUGGAUUAAGCACUCCGUGGACAGAUUUGUCAUUGUGAGCAUUUUCAUCCCGAAGUUGCGGCUCAUUCUGAUUCUGAACAGCUUCUUGGGAAGUAGCGACAGCUUGGUUUUUA